ensembl:lncRNA
UGUUUUGAAAGGAGGCUACAAAUGAAAUAUGCAACAGUUUCUCCUCAGGGAUGAGAACAUACAACACGUUCUCACUCCCAACUCGUCAAACGUGUGACGCAUGGUCAGGCUCCCUCUGCUGCACUUAUGGACGCGCAGGGUACCCCUCUCGCGUUGGGAAUUGACGUGAAGGGUCCUCCGAUUGAAGAGAUUGCUGCGGAAGUGCCUGCUGUCGGUAUAUUUAGACAUUUUCCAAAUCACAUUGUAGUGACGUAUACAGAACACAAUAAAUUAUAUAAUGUAAACAACUACCUGAAAAACAGGUAGAACGAUGCUUUUGUAUCGUUUAUUGCAUUUACGGAGGGAGUGAUGUAUGCUGGGUAAUGGCACAGCUAGCUACUGGGUGACUUUAUUCACCCGCUUCGGCUGUUAUCAGUCCAUACAAUGGGCGUUAUUAGCACAAACCAGUCCCAUAGAUAUGGGCCAUCUCCUGCUAGAUUGUUCAGAAGGUUGUUCUCAUCCAUCCAGAUGGAGGAUCACUAACAGGAGCGUGGAAGACUCCAGAAUCCACUCUGGCUGGAAUCCGGUGGAUAUGCAGUGUUUACAGGUACAGUACGUGAUAUCAAGGGCAGGCGGUCAACACUGGGGGUAGACAAGAAGCAGACGUACUUCCAAGAGGGAGCUGCAGUGAGGACACAGCCAGGUCACUGAGGAGGCGCUGGAAGGUUUCCCUAAUAGUUCCUGGUGAAUCAAAGCAGAACCAUAAAGGUUGCUGGACUGCAUGAUGGCCUUACCCCUGAGCAGUCAUCCUGUUAAAGGAGGAACCACUUAGCUGUUUUCAAAGUAGCUGAGCAGAUUUCAUCUCAACAGACAAAGCCGAUUGCAGAAGAUGUCGGAGAAGAACUUCAGGCCGUGUACUGAAAAGUAGAUCAAAGCAGCUUGUGCUCCUUCUGCUUCCAAUUUAGAAGAAGAAGGCGAAGGCUUCAGCGAAGUGGCGUUCAUGGUCUCAGUGAACAGUCAUGGCCACACACUGCAUGUGGUUUUAAAAGCAACAUGUCUGUUCACCACAACAAUGGAGAUGUGUAAUAUUAGUGCAGCUACGGUUUGUUUUUGAACAUCAGUUCUGUUUUCUACUUUGAUCACUUAGACCAAAAAAGUGUUGUUUUCAGAUUCUUUCUUUUACAUCUAUAAACCACCUGUUCAUUUUUUUUAUUACAAUUAGUUUCACAUGAAUGUUAGUGUUUCCUUUAUGAUCUUUUAAUGCUUACACUACACUGUACAUGUCUACAUUAGAGACAUUUCUGUUACCUGUUUCUGUUGACUCAGAGUUGUGAAAUGUUCUUUUAUUUGAUGCACAAUAUGAAGCUCAUAAUUUUCUUACAAAUAAAACUCUAAUGACAAACAUGAA